rnacentral:tRNA from 1 species
CUCCGGUAGCUUAAAUUAGUAGAGCGUGGCGCUGAAGAUGCUAAGGAGGGAGGUAUNCCCUCGGGGCA